GCUUUCCUGUGGUUUUGUUUGUUUGGUGGCACCUCGAACUCAUGUGCAAGGACGACUCUUAUCUAUCACCCAUGACUGAUGGCU